CCACCCUUUAAUGUUUGAUGUUCUAACGUGGACCCGUGAUCCGGGUUGCGGACAGUGUCUGGUGGGUAGUUUGACUGGGGCGGUCUCCUCCUAAAGAGUAACGGAGGAGCACGAAGGUUGGCUAAUCCUGGUCGGACAUCAGGAGGUUAGUGCAAUGGCAUAAGCCAGCUUGACUGCGAGCGUGACGGCGCGAGCAGGUGCGAAAGCAGGUCAUAGUGAUCCGGUGGUUCUGAAUGGAAGGGCCAUCGCUCAACGGAUAAAAGGUACUCCGGGGAUAACAGGCUGAUACCGCCCAAGAGUUCAUAUCGACGGCGGUGUUUGGCACCUCGAUGUCGGCUCAUCACAUCCUGGGGCUGAAGUAGGUCCCAAGGGUAUGGCUGUUCGCCAUUUAAAGUGGUACGCGAGCUGGGUUUAGAACGUCGUGAGACAGUUCGGUCCCUAUCUGCCGUGGGCGCUGGAGAACUGAGGGGGGCUGCUCCUAGUACGAGAGGACCGGAGUGGACGCAUCACUGGUGUUCGGGUUGUCAUGCCAAUGGCACUGCCCGGUAGCUAAAUGCGGAAGAGAUAAGUGCUGAAAGCAUCUAAGCACGAAACUUGCCCCGAGAUGAGUUCUCCCUGAGACUUAG
rnacentral:rRNA from 1 species